rnacentral:rRNA from 1 species
CCGUCCGUCACACCAUGGGAGUUGAUUGCUCCAGAAGUGGCUGAGCUAACCCGCAAGGGGAGCAGGUCCCAAGGAGUGGUCGAUGACUGGGGUG